GACGAACGCUGGCGGCGUGCCUAAUACAUGCAAGUAGAACGCUGAAGGAGGAGCUUGCUUCUCCGGAUGAGUUGCGAACGGGUGAGUAACGCGUAGGUAACCUGCCUGGUAGCGGGGGAUAACUAUUGGAGACGAUAGCUAAUACCGCAUAACAGUAGAUGUUGCAUGACAUUUGCUUAAAAGGUGCAAUUGCCUCACUACCAGAUGGACCUGCGUUGUAUUAGCUAGUUGGUGAGGUAACGGCUCACCAAGGCGACGAUACAUAGCCGACCUGAGAGGGUGAUCGGCCACACUGGGACUGAGACACGGCCCAGACUCCUACGGGAGGCAGCAGUAGGGAAUCUUCGGCAAUGGACGGAAGUCUGACCGAGCAACGCCGCGUGAGUGAAGAAGGUUUUCGGAUCGUAAAGCUCGGUUGUAAGAGAAGAAAGGGUGUGAGGGUGGAAAGUUCACACUGUGACGGUAUAUGACCAGAAAGGGACGGCUAACUACGUG
rnacentral:rRNA from 1 species